rnacentral:lncRNA from 1 species
UAUUUCUGACUGGCAAAGUCUCUGAUGGGUGGUGGCAGGCUGCUGAUCUCUUUAGCCCAGGUCCUUUGGUCAGUAAGGCGCUUGCCUUCCCCCAGGGAUGAAUUCCUGUCAACAAGGUGGUUCAUUGACAUUCUGCUGUGAAGAUGGAAGAAAUCUGCCUGUAGCAACACAGCAAUGGCAAGGAAAGUCACCAUAUCAGCACAAAUCUGAACAUGUGCUGAAACACUCUCCCAAACUGGAGCUGAAAUCAGUGACCCUGCAGUUUUCCUGUGCUUUGGACACUCACUGCCAUCCUAUUGGAGCAUGCCAUCCUAAUUCUGCCAUCCUAUUUCUGCAUGUCUGA